UAAUUCAUAGAAAUAAACAAGGAACAACCUUGUAAAAACCCGAAAUAGGAUAGAAAGUCGGGCUAUGCCCCUUUGGAUCACAAGUUUUGUUUCAUGUUUCUGACAACCAACAUUCAUUAGCAUAAAACUAGAAUUUCAAAUUUAAGCUCGACAUGAAGUCAUCUUAAGUUGAGAAAACAAAAGAUGUAUAAGAGUAAUUGCUACAGCGGAAGUCUAACAUAGGAAUUUAACUCUAGCCUCAGCUCCGUCCCGUCAGCACCGGCCAGCCAACCUGAAAACAUUUGAAAGUAUUUUUGGGCUAAGUACUAAUGUACUUAGUGGGCAUGCAUUUUUCUGAAACAUUUCAUAUUUUAAUAAAGACAGUUUAUCCAAUCAUACUUGACAUGACUUAGAAGGUUUUAAAUUGAAAGAAGUACUUCUAAGCAUGUUAAAACAUUUUCUUUCAUUUGUGCGCACAUGUCACACUCCCUUUCCGUUACUCGCUGUGAUCCCGGACCUUUUAGCCACCGACGGAUCCAUAUCUCCCGCUUUACUUGAACUGAGGGCGUAACCCAGUCAAGUUCCCAUUUGGGACCCAAUGCUCCGGAACACAUCCCGUCGAGCACCCUUAUAACGCCUCAUACAUGAUUAGUGCCCGAAUGGAGAUCAACCCACCGAGUCAGCUAAUAGGUGUACACAAUUCUCAAACAACGUGUUAGGUCAUAAGAGAACCUCGAUCGAUUAACUUAUGCGAGCCUUAAACAGAGCAGAGUGCACAAAAUAUUUUAUUGGAUAAACAGUUUUCAUUACAUUAAAUAAACAGUUUGCAUUUUCAUUGAAACAUUUUAGAGCUUAAUAACUCAAUCAUACUUUGUACAUUUGGAAAGUAAGCCCACCUGGUUAGGCAAAGCCUGAAGAUCAUA
rnacentral:lncRNA from 1 species